rnacentral:rRNA from 1 species
ACAGUAACGCGAUCGAAUGUACCUAUGGGUUGAGGAUAGCCGUGGGAAACUGCGGGUAAUACUCGAUGAUGUCUCCGGACCAAAGAUUUAUCGCCCUAAGAGCAGCGAUCGUCCUAUCAGGUAGUUGGCGGGGUAAAGGCCCACCAAGCCUAAGACGGGUAGCAGGUGUGAGAGCACGACCUGCGACAUCGGGACUGAGACACUGCCCGGACUCCUACGGGAGGCUGCAGUAACGAAUCUUCCGCAAUGGGCGCAAGCCUGACGGAGCAAUGCCGCGUGUGGGAUGAAGCGGCUACGCCGUGUAAACCACUGUCAGGGACUAGAACCAAUGAUCAGUCCCAAAGGAAGAGCCGGCUAACCCCUGUGCCAGCAGCCGCGGUAAUACAGGGGGCUCGAGCGUUAAUCGGAAUCACUGGGCUUAAAGGGUGCGUAGGUGGCUUGCCAAGCGUCCUGUGAAAUCCCACGGCUCAACCGUGGAACCGCAGGGCGAACUGGUAGGCUUGAGGCAUGUAGGGGCA